rnacentral:lncRNA from 1 species
AAAUUCGACCCAUAAUAUAUCAAAAUGAAGAUAGAAAAGUGUAGAAUAAGAUUAUACCUAUUUUGAAGCCCAAUGGUUGCCAGAGAUUGCCGGAAAAUAGCCUCAAAGUUGACUGGUCCGAGUGAAAACUUGAAAACUCGCCGGAAACUGGGUAAACUUUAAACGUUCAUAACUUCUUCGAUACUCAACGAAAUCAAGUGAUUCAAAAACAAAAAUCAUACUUCUAUAUGAGACAAAG